rnacentral:rRNA from 1 species
UACGACUACAUAUCAGGCAUAUCAAUAAGCGGAGGAAAAGAAACUAACUAGGAUUCCCUCAGUAACGGCGAGUGAAGCGGGAAGAGCUCAAAUUUGAAAUCUUCAAGGUUCUACCUUGACGAAUUGUAGUUUAAAGAAGUGUUUUCUGUUGGUGUUUUGGUAAAAGUUCUUUGGAAUAGGACAUCAUAGAGGGUGAGAAUCCCGUAUUUGACCAUUACUUCCAGCGUUGUGAUACACUUUCAAAGAGUCGGAUUGUUUGGGAAUGCAGUCCAAAAUGGGUGGUAAAUUUCAUCUAAAGCUAAAUAUUGGCGAGAGACCGAUAGCGAACAAGUACCGUGAGGGAAAGAUGAAGAGAACUUUGAAAAGAGAGUUAAACAGUACGUGAAAUUGUCAAAAGGGAAGCGUUUGACACCAGUGUUGUUUUCUCGAAAAUCAAUUAAAAAGUAUGGGAUUUUGUAUUGUUAAGACCUUAUCAGCUUACUGUACUUUUUUCUUGCUCUUUUUUAAUGCACUUUUCGUUUAACAAGUCAACAUCAAUUUCUUUGUUGUAAAAGGAGUCAUUGGAAGGUGGCUUUCACUUCGGUGAAAGUGUUUAUAGCCUUUGGCUUCUGCAAUCGGAGAGAUUGAGGUCUGCAGCGUAGAUCCUUCGGGGUUAGAUACGUAGAUGCUAAGUUAUAGUUUUUCAUAGACAACUUGUUGACUAUGAUUAAUCAUGUAGCUUACUCGUUUGCGCUAUUUUACCUACGCUUAGGAUGUUGAAUCUGUGCGAGACUAC